AAGAAGCAGAAGCCUUGAAUUGGGUCAAUCUGAUGGUCACAUUUUGCUUUGCUGACUACAUACAUAAUCACCACUUCAAAAUGAUCAUGUAUGUACAUAAUUCAUUGCAUGACCAUUUUAACAUUACCACUUUAUAUAUAUAUAUAUAUAUAUAUAUCUAUUUUUUUUUUCUUCUCAAAAUAAGGAUAGUAAAAGUUCAGUGUGUUUUCACUUGGUCAUUGAGAUCUCAUUCUAUAAUGAACUUGUAGUAACAUGAUGUGUUGUGGUGUGUGACAUUAUUAAAGCACCAAGAAUUAGAAAUGAGUUUGGUAGUUGGAGCUUAUCUCUGGAGCAUUUGAGGAAUGGUUUCACAACCAAUCUGGUUUUAAGAUGUGAGACAAAAUGAACAGGUGCCAUAAAAAAUUGCCUUGAUUGAUGUACUAAUCAAGUUUCAAAAAUCAACACUAGAUACUUGCAUAUUACUAUUAACCUUCCUUGUGUCAGAAAUAGGCAAAACAGUGUUCAAUGUGGCCUUUGAAAGAAGUUGAACUUUGCUUGGAUUCC
rnacentral:lncRNA from 1 species